rnacentral:misc_RNA from 1 species
UUAAAUGGCUCGGUUGAUUCUUCCAUGCAGAAGUUCCUGUUUGACAAAGACCACUCUCUUGGGUUUGAUUUCCUCUGCUCCUCUUCACGCUACAGGCCGAGCUAGCUUCUUUCGGAAUUCAGUGAAAAAUAUCUCCAAACAUAGGCGUUUCCUUAGUUCAGAGGUCACAGUUGGAAGGAAUUAUCGGUUUCUGUAUCCUGCA